UGGGGAAUUUUGACAAUGGGGAAACCCUGAUCCAGCCAUCCCGCGUGUGCGAUGAAGGCCUUCGGGUUGUAAGCACUUUUGGCAGGAAAGAAACGUCGCGGGGUUAAUACCCCGCGAAACUGACGGUACCUGCAGAAUAAGCACCGGCUAACUACGUGCCAGCAGCCGCGGUAAUACGUAGGGUGCAAGCGUUAAUCGGAAUUACUGGGCGUAAAGCGUGCGCAGGCGGUUCGGAAAGAAAGAUGUGAAAUCCCAGAGCUUAACUUUGGAACUGCAUUUUUAACUACCGGGCUAGAGUGUGUCAGAGGGAGGUGGAAUUCCGCGUGUAGCAGUGAAAUGCGUAGAUAUGCGGAGGAACACCGAUGGCGAAGGCAGCCUCCUGGGAUAACACUGACGCUCAUGCACGAAAGCGUGGGGAGCAAACAGGAUUAGAUACCCUGGUAGUCCACG
rnacentral:rRNA from 1 species